UGGCAUCAACGCAGAGUAGAAGAAGUCAUAAAAUCCUUCUUUGAUAGUUUACAAGACAUGACUCCGAUAGUAAAUGGGCUAGAACUUAUCAAGUACACUUGCAAUGAUUGGA